ACCACAGCCACAUAUCUCUGUGUUCAGAUAUGGCCACAGGCACAGCCCAAGACUGGUUGCCCACUGAAGCUAAGCAGUAUUGAACCUGAUUAGUAUCUGGAUGGGAGACCUCCUGGGAAAACUAGGUUGCUGCUGGAA
rnacentral:rRNA from 1 species